rnacentral:rRNA from 1 species
AAACAUCGCCUCUUGUAAAUUAUAGAUAAGAGGUCCCGCCUGCCCUGUGACUAUUAGUUUAACGGCCGCGGUAUUUUGACCGUGCGAAGGUAGCGCAAUCACUUGUCUUUUAAAUGAAGACCUGUAUGAAUGGCAUAACGAGGGCUUAACUGUCUCCUCUCUCCAGUCAAUGAAAUUGAUCUUCCCGUGCAGAAGCGGGAAUAUAAACAUAAGACGAGAAGACCCUAUGAAGCUUUAGACACCAAGACAGAUCAUGUUAAUAACCCUAAAUAAAGGCUUAAACCAAAUGGAACCUGCCCUAAUGUCUUUGGUUGGGGCGACCGCGGGGCAUUGAAAAACCCCCACGUGGAGUGGGAGCACCCCUCCUACAACUAAGAGCUACAGCUCUAAUAAACAGAAAUUCUGACCAGUAAGAUCCGGCAAUGCCGAUCAACGGACCGAGUUACUCUAGGGAUAACAGCGCAAUCCUCUUUUAGAGCCCAUAUCGACAAGGGGGUUUACGACCUCGAUGUUGGAUCAGGACAUCCUAAUGGUGCAGCCGCUAUUAAGGGUUCGUUUGUUCAACGAUUAAAGUCCUACGUGAUCUG